rnacentral:rRNA from 1 species
GACGAACGCUGGCGGCGUGCUUAACACAUGCAAGUCGAGCGGUAAGGCCCUUUCGGGGGGUACACGAGCGGCGAACGGGUGAGUAACACGUGGGUGACCUGCCCUCAGCUCUGGGAUAAGCCUGGGAAACCGGGUCUAAUACUGGAUAUGACUCCAUGACGCAUGUUGUGGGGUGGAAAGCCUUGUGCGGCUGAGGAUGGGCCCGCGGCCUAUCAGCUUGUUGGUGGGGUGAGGCCUACCAAGGCGACGACGGGUAGCCGGCCUGAGAGGGCGACCGGCCACACUGGGACUGAGACACGGCCCAGACUCCUACGGGAGGCAGCAGUGGGGAAUCUUGCGCAAUGGGCGAAAGCCUGACGCAGCGACGCCGCGUGAGGGAUGACGGCCUGGU